rnacentral:tRNA from 1 species
GCGGUCGUGGCGGAAUGGCAGACGCGCUAGGCUCAGGACCUAGUGGCCGCAAGGCCGUGGAGGUUCAAUUCCUCUCGACCGCA